AUUUGCAAAUUUAAAGAAGGAGGAAGAUCAUGUGCAAGUGUUAAGGAGACUAUUUGAAAGGCUGCGAAAAUACCAACUAAAGUUGAACCCUGCAAA